AGCAGCCUCAUUGCGAUUGGCCGUACGCGGGGGGUGCGCGGUAGUCCCGCAUCCGCCCGCCCCUAGGGCAGUUAGAGGCGGCGGGGUGGUGGGCUGAGCCAGCGGCUGCCUGGAGGUCAUGUCUGCACGCCGGCGGGGCUACGCGGCCCGGCCCUGCUUGUCAGGCCUGAGAACUGGGAGGAGGCUGGAGAAAAGAUGCCCUCUGAAUCUUUCUGUUUGGCUGCCCAGGCUCGCCUUGACUCCAAAUGGUUGAAAACAGAUACACAGAUGCAGUCUCACCUUAUCGCCUAGGCUGGAGUAUAGUGGUGUGAUCUCA